rnacentral:misc_RNA from 1 species
GAUGAAGAACGUAGCGAAAUGCGAUAAGUAGUGUGAAUUGCAGAAUUCAGUGAAUCAUCGAAUCUUUGAACGCACAUUGCGCCCCUUGGUAUCCCGAGGGGCAUGCCUGUACGAGCGUCAUUUCACCACUCAAGCCUGGCUUGGUGUUGGGCGACGUCCUCUUUGGGGACGCGCCUCGAAACGCUCGGCGGCGUGGCACCGGCUUUAAGCGUAGCAGAAUCUUUCGCUUUGGAAGUCGGGGCCCCGUCUGCCGGAAGACCUGCUCGCAAGGUUGACCUCGGAUCAGGCAGGGAUACCCGCUGAACUUAAGCAUAUCAAUAAGCGGAGGA